AGAGGGUUAGUCCAACAUAAGAUAUCUGAUUUCGGCUUAGAAGAUCGCGGUUAAAAUCCACGACCCCCUU
rnacentral:tRNA from 1 species